AGACGAAGCAGUGACACAGAAGGAUAGGACGAGCGCGGUGAUGGUCAACCGCGUAGGCGGCACGAGGCUGGGGAGCAGUAAAGUACACUUCCCGUGAAGGCUGAGUGCUGACAGGACCGAAAAAGAGUAGGGAAGCGUCUGAGUUCACGCUGGCGAGAAAAGCUGCUAAGGAGAGUGUGAGUGCCCGUACCGGAAACCGACGCAGGUGGGCGAGGAGAGAAUCCUGAGACGGACGGGAGAACUCUUGUUAAGGAACUCGGCAAAAUGACCCCGUAACUUCGGGAGAAGGGGUGCCUCGAAAGAGGCCGCAGAGAAUAGUCACAAGCGACUGUUUAGCAAAAACACAGGUAUCUGCGAAAGCGAGAGCUGACGUAUAGGUGCUGACGCCUGCCCGGUGCUGGAAGGUUAAGGGGAAGUGUUAGGGGAAACCCGAAGCAGAGAACCGAAGCCCCAGUAAACGGCGGCCGUAACGAUAACGGUCCUAAGGUAGCGAAAUUCCUUGUCGGGUAAGUUCCGACCCGCACGAAUGGCGUAACGACUUGUGAGCUGUCUCAACAGGAGGCCCGGUGAAAUUGAAGUAUGUGUGAAGAUGCACAUUACCCGCGACUGGACGGAAAGACCCCGUAGAGCUUUACUGUAACCUGACAUUGGAUCUUGAUAACGGAUGCACAGGAUAGGUGGGACGCUGGGAGGUAUGGACUUUGGUCUGUACGGAGCGGACGUUGGGAUACCACUCUUCUGUUAUUGAGAUUCUAACCUCAAGCCGUAAGCCGGAUGAGAGACAGUGUCAGGCGGACAGUUUGACUGGGGCGGUCGCCUCCGAAAGAGUAACGGAGGCGCCCAAAGGUACCCUCAGAAUGGAUGGAAACCAUUCGAAGAGAGCAAAGUCAGAAGGGUGCUUGACUGCGAGACCAACAAGUCGAGCAGGUACGAAAGUAGGGCUUAGUGAUCCGGCGGUAAGAGAGUGGAAUUGCCGUCGCUCAACGGAUAAAAGCUACCUCGGGGAUAACAGGCUGAUCUCCCCCAAGAGUUCACAUCGACGGGGAGGUUUGGCACCUCGAUGUCGGCUCGUCGCAUCCUGGGGCUGAAGCAGGUCCCAAGGGUUUGGCUGUUCGCCAAUUAAAGCGGCACGCGAGCUGGGUUCAGAACGUCGUGAGACAGUUCGGUCCCUAUCCAUCGUGGGCGAAGGACACAUGAGAGGAGCUGCUCCUAGUACGAGAGGACCGGAGUGGACGCAUCACUGGUGCAACUGUUGUCGUGCCAACGGCACAGCAGGGAAGCGAAAUGCGGAUGGGAUAAACGCUGAAGGCAUCUAAGCGUGAAGCCCACCUCAAGAAUAAGUGUCCCAUUCGAAAGAAGUAAGACCCCUGGAGGACUACCAGGUGAUAGGUCAUCGGUGAAAGAGCGGUAACGUUUGGAGCUUGAUGAUACUAAUCGGUCGAGGACUUGAUCG
rnacentral:rRNA from 1 species